rnacentral:lncRNA from 1 species
GUGGAGCAGCGGCAGGAGCCGGCUGAACACAGCCAGGACCAGUUUCCCCAGGGGCCAAAUGCAACCUGUUCUCCAUUGCAUCUUCCCCACUGGUGGGCAAAUUGUGUUGGGCUUCUGUGAGGCCCCAUGAAGAUUUCAAGAUGUUCACGCAGAGUCUGUCGAGCUCACCUCUGGAUACCCCAGCUCCUACACGAAGCAAAUGUUUCUUUUUUUAUUUUUUGAGACAGUCUCACUGUGUUGCCCAUGCUGGAGUGCAGUGUCCCAAUCUUGGCUCACUGCAGCCUCCGCCUCCCGGGUUCAAGUGAUUCUCCUGCCUCAGCCUUCUGAGUAGCUGGGACUUCAGGUGUGUGCCACCACACCUGGUUAAAUUUUGUAUUUUUAGUAGAGACGAGGUUUCACCAUGUUGGCCAGGCUGGUCUGGAACUCCUGACCUCAGGUGACCCACCUGCCUUGACCUCCCAAAGUGCUGGGAUUACAGGUGUGAGCCAUUACGCCUGGCCCUGAUGUUUCUUUCUUUUUUUCUUUUUUUUUGAGAUGGAGUCUUACUCUGUCGCCCAGGCUGGGGUGCGGUGGCGCGACCUCAAUUCACUGCAACCUCCACCUCCCGGAUUCAAGUGAUUCUCCUGCCUCAGCCCCCCACGUAGCUGGGAUUACAGGCCAGCACCGCCACGCCUGGUUAAUUUUUGUAUUUUUAGUAGAGAUGGGGUUUCACCAGUUGGCCAGGCUGGUCUUGAACUCCUGACCUACAGUGAUCCACCCACCUCGGCCUCUUAAAGUGCUGGGAUUACAGGCAUGAACCACCAUGCCUGGCCCAAGCCAACGUUUCUACAGGUUUGAAGAACAGAAGCGUGAACAGUUCCUUUGCAACCUCUCCCUGGCUUUUCGCUUUUGGGGUUAGAGUUAAGCUCCAUGGCUGAAGGACCCAGACUUGAGAAAAAAUACAAAGUCAACAGAAUUUGGAGACAUUUUGUCUUGCUUUCUGCCUCUUUGAAAGUGAUUUUUUCCCUCAACUUCCCGAACUCCAACCUUCCCUUUCUCCUGAAAAGCAGGAGAGUGUUCAAUGGGUUGUCACCCACACCAGGGGCACCUACAUUUUUUUUUAUUAUUAUACUUUAAGUUCUAGGGUACAUGUGCACAAUGUGCAGGUUUGUUACAUAUGUAUACAUGUGCCAUGUUGGUGUGCUGAACCCAUUAACUCGUCAUUUACAUUAGGUAUAUCUCCUAAUGCUAUCCCUCCCCCCUCC